GGGGGUGUAGCUCAGGGGUAGAGCUCCUGCCUUUUAAGCAGGCUGUCGAUGGUUCGAUCCCAUCCACCCUCA
rnacentral:tRNA from 1 species